rnacentral:rRNA from 1 species
AUUGAACGCUGGCGGCAUGCUUUACACAUGCAAGUCGAACGGCAGCGCGGGCUUCGUCCUGGCGGCGAGUGGCGAACGGGUGAGUAAUGCAUCGGAACGUGCCCAGUAGUGGGGGAUAGCCCGACGAAAGCCGGAUUAAUACCGCAUACGACCUGAGGGUGAAAGCGGGGGACCGAAAGGCCUCGCGCUAUUGGAGCGGCCUAUGUCGGAUUAGCUAGUUGGUGGGGUAAAGGCUUACCAAGGCGACGAUCCGUAGCUGGUCUGAGAGGACGACCAGCCACACUGGGACUGAGACACGGCCCAGACUCCUACGGGAGGCAGCAGUGGGGAAUUUUGGACAAUGGGGGCAAGCCUGAUCCAGCCAUGCCGCGUGCGGGAAGAAGGCCUUCGGGUUGUAAACCGCUUUUGUUCGGGAAGAAAUCCUCUGGGCUAAUACCCCGGGGGGAUGACGGUACCGGAAGAAUAAGCACCGGCUAACUACGUG